AGGCACAUAGCUCAGUUGGUUAGAGCACCACCUUGACAUGGUGGGGGUCGUUGGUUCGAGUCCAAUUGUGCCUA
rfam:Pseudomonas tuomuerensis strain JCM 14085 PT85_5, whole genome shotgun sequence.